AUGUCGCAAUUCGUGGCAAUGUAGCAUGAUUGUUCCAUAAUAAAAGGGAGAUACUUAGUCAUUAAAAUUUGAAAAUUUUUAUCGACUCGCGUUAGUUCAUUAGGUGAAACUGUGCGUGAAUGUUUAGUUUAUCGAUACGCGCUGGUGAAGUUGACAAUAUGGAUGAAUUUUGUGGUUCGCGGUUUUGGGAUUCUGAUGUGGUUUGGAAUACUUCUGAUCCUGAUUUGACGUUAUGUUUCGAGAAAACUGUUCUAACGUGGAUCCCUUGCGCGUUUCUAUGGAUUUGUCUACCUUUGGAGAUAUAUUACCUUCGUCAUUCGAAAGCAUCUAAUAUUCCAUUAAAUUUAUAUAAUGUCGUGAAAUUGAUUUCAAUAGCUAUUUUAGCGACACUUUCUCUGGCGGAUAUCGUGCAUCAUGUAUUUUUUCAUAGUCACAGUUUUCCGGUCGACUUUUAUUCGCCAUUAAUUAAAUUCAUCACUUUCCUAAUAUUUCUGCUUUUAACUUAUGCUAAUUUAACAUUUGGCGUAAGAUCGUCGCCGAUUUUGUUUUUAUUCUCGUUGUUAUUGGUUGUAUUUGGAGCACCUCAGCUACGAACAGAACUUCGAUCAAAAUGGAUCCAGGAAGAAAACCAUAACACUGUCGAAUUUGUCAGCUACGUAAUUUACUUCCCAGUCGUAUUAUUUGUAUUUAUCCUGAAUUGCUUCGCUGACUCACGUCCACGAAUCGUGAAACAUAAGGUUAUUAAAAAUGUAUGUGUGGAAAAUCAGUCUUCCUUUUUGUCUCAAUUGUUAUUCGCUUGGUACGAUCCGUUUGCUUGGAAAGGAGCCAGAAAAUCUCUGGAAGAUGAAGAUUUACCGAAUCUCGACUACACGAAAUCAUCCGCCGGCGUUGUGCCUCAAUUUGAGAAGUACUGGACGAAAGCUCGCGAGAAAGUGAAAAAAAAUCGCAUAUUUGAAUUUGAAAUGGAGCAGAAAAGAGGCAAAGAGGAGUUUGAUGAAAUUGACGAAUACAAUCUGAAUAAAAUCAGUAAAAAGAAGAAGUUCGUGUCAGUUGUGCCAGUUUUAUGCCAAACUACUUGGAGUACAUUUUUGAUGGGAACGACUCUGAAGCUUAUUCAAGAUAUUUUGGUGUUUGUCAGCCCUCAAAUUUUAAGUUUAUUGAUCGGUUUCAUGAGUGGCGAUGAACCAUUAUGGCGAGGAUAUUUUUACGCGAUCACAUUAUUUGCGGUGGCCUUCAUUCGAACUGUGAUCUUAUCUCAAUACUUUCAUAAAGUGAAUAUCGUCGGAUUGAAACUUCGAAUAUCUCUGAUUUCGAUUAUUUACAAAAAGGCAUUAAGCAUAUCGAAUGGUGCUCGAAGGGAAUUCACUGUUGGUGAAAUUGUCAACUUGAUGUCUGUAGAUGCUCAACGAAUUGUUGAGCUGAUGAUGUACGUGAAUAUGUUGUGGUCAGCGCCGUUGCAGAUUUUGUUGGCGUUAUUUUUCUUAUGGCAGUUUCUAGGUCCCAGUGUAUUGGCUGGUUUUGUUUUGAUGAUAAUUUUAAUCCCAAUUAACGGUUAUAUCGCAUCCAAAUUGCAAAAGUUGAUGUUCAAACAAAUGGCACAAAAGGAUAAACGAGUUAAAUUGAUGAAUGAAAUUCUAUCUGGAAUCAAAGUACUAAAAUUUUACGCUUGGGAACCGAGUUUUGAAAACCAAGUCUUAAAAAUUCGAGACAAAGAAAACAGAGUAUUGAAAAAACAGGCUUACAUGAACGCUCUGAUUGGGUUCAUUUGGAAUUCUACUCCAUUUCUGGUAUCAUUACUUACCUUUGCAGUUUACGCAUUAUCGAGCGAAGAACAUGUGCUGGAUGCUAAAACUGUGUUCGUAUCUUUAUCGUUAUUUAAUAUUUUGAGGUUUCCUUUGAUGGCUUUACCAAUGAUGAUUUCCCAAUUAGCUCAAGCGAGUGUUUCGGUGAAAAGAAUAAACAAAUUUUUAAAUUCGGAAGAUUUGAAUCCUGACGAUGUUUCUAAAAUGAAUAGGCCUGAAGCUUUACUUAUUGAAAAUGGUUCAUUUUCUUGGGAAGGAACUAAUGGACCUGCUACUUUGCGUGAUAUAAAUAUUAAAGUUAAUCCGGGAAAUUUGGUCGCUGUAGUUGGACCAGUUGGUUGCGGUAAAAGUUCAUUAAUUUCAGCAUUUCUCGGUGAAAUGUACAAAUUAUCCGGCCUUGUCAAUACCAGGGGUAGCAUAGCCUAUGUACCUCAACAAGCUUGGAUUCAAAAUACAACGUUAAAAAAUAACAUUACUUUUGGAGAUCAAGCCAAUAAUAACUUCUACAACCAAGUAUUGGAAGCGUGUGCAUUGAAAACCGACUUGGAAAUAUUACCAGCCGGCGAUGCAACCGAAAUUGGCGAAAAGGGGAUAAACUUGAGCGGUGGUCAAAAACAAAGAAUCAGUUUAGCUAGAGCUGUUUACAAUCGUGCAGAUGUGUAUUUAUUGGAUGACCCAUUGAGCGCAGUAGAUUCGCAUGUUGGAAAACACAUAUUCGACUAUGUUAUUGGUCCGAAUGGAUUAAUGAAAAAUACUACUCGUAUCUUGGUAACUCACAGCAUCACGUAUUUAUCUCAAGUUGACUUCAUAGUAGUUGUGAAAGAUGGUAGUAUUUCUGAGUCCGGUUCGUUCCAGGAACUAGUGGAUAAAAAGGGAGAUUUUUCUGUUUUCUUGGAUACUUAUUUGAGGGAAAGUUCUGAAUCCGAUGAAGAAGAUAUGGAUGAUGGAUUCACAAAAGUUUCAAGUGAUGAGAAAAUAUCCAGUGGCCAGCCCAAUAAACGAAAGUCAAAACCUAGCGAGAGCGGUUCUGUUGUUUCAUUUAAUAGGCAAAAAUCAACCAAUGAAAGUAAAGAGUCACUUAGAAAUGGUAAUACAUCUACAGGAAAUGUAGCCGGAGAAAAAUUAAUUGAAGUCGAACACUCUGAAAGUGGAAAGGUUAAAUGGAAAGUGUACGGGUAUUACUUGAAAUCGUUUGGAUUAUCCUGGACAUUUGCAAUUCUCUUCAUGAUAGUUGUGUUCCAAGUAUUUUCCAUAUCUUCAAGUAUGUUGCUUUCUAGUUGGUCCACCGAUACAAAAGCUGUCACUACCGAAGGGAAUCAAGAUAUCAGUAAAAGGAAUUUCUAUCUCACGACUUACGCGUUAUUGGGAUUAGGUCAAGCAACUUCGACAUUGUUGGAAGGGUUAUUCUUGGCUAGUGGAAUGGUAGCCGCGUCUAGAAAUUUACAUCUAAAUAUGUUAAACCGGAUACUAAGAGCACCUCUUAGCUUUUUCGAUACGACUCCUAGUGGAAGAAUUAUCAAUCGAUUUGGAAAAGAUGUCGAUAUCGUAGACAGUGUCCUGCCUCAGGUCCUUCGUUGGUGGUUAGAAAGUGCAUUUGGAUUGUUGACAAUUUUGUACAUAAUCACUUACAGUACUCCUAUUUUUGCUACGAUCAUAUUACCUGUCGGUCUUCUUUAUUAUUUUAUCCAGAGAAUCUACGUUGCCACUACGAGACAAUUGAAACGACUGAACUCAGUAUCGCAAUCUUCCAUAUAUUCUCAUUUCAGCGAAACAAUUUCUGGUGCUCAGUCAAUUCGAGCUUAUGGACUUCAAGAAAAAUUUAUCAAACAAUCUGAAUACAAAGUGGAUUUCAAUUUGAGAAGCUACUAUUUAAAUCUUGUGUCUAAUAGAUGGCUUUCAGUACGUUUAGAAACUGUUGGGAAUAUCAUCAUGCUUUUUGUUGCGGUCCUUGCAGUACUUGGAAAAGAUACUCUUAGUCCUGGACUCGCAGCUUUAUCCAUCACUUCGGUCUUAUCUAUUACUGAAUUGCUGAACUGGGUCGUAAAUAUGACUUCGGAAGUAGAAACCAAUAUCGUAUCCGUCGAAAGGAUCAAAGAAUAUAGCAGCGAAACACCUCAAGAGGCGAGUUGGAAACUACCCAACGAAUUAGUACCGAAAGAUUGGCCAUCCAAAGGUGAUAUAGUUUUCAAAAAUUUCCAAGUCCGGUAUAGAGAUGGAUUAGACUUAGUUUUGAAAGGAAUCACGGCGUACGUUGACGGUGGUCAGAAAGUCGGUAUUGUUGGCAGAACAGGCGCUGGAAAGUCAUCGUUGACUUUGAGUUUGUUCAGGAUCAUUGAAAGUGCUGGUGGCGAGAUCUCUAUCGAUGGUGUUGAUAUUGCUUCUCUCGGUUUACAUUCCGUUCGUGCAAAGUUGACUAUUAUUCCUCAGGAUCCGGUCCUAUUUUCGGGUUCAUUACGUGUAAAUUUAGAUCCAGCCGGUGAAUAUUCCGAUGAUCGUGUAUGGCGUUCGUUAGAAUUAGCUCACCUUAAAUCAUACGUUUCUAGUUUAGCCGCCGGUCUCGAGUACGAAGUUACCGAAGGAGGUGAAAACUUCAGUGUUGGCCAAAGACAACUCAUCUGUUUGGCUCGAGCUUUAUUACGCAAAACAAAAGUAUUAAUUUUAGACGAAGCUACCGCAGCUGUUGAUUUAGAAACCGAUGAACUUAUUCAGACCACCAUUCGUAGUGAAUUUAGAGAUUGCACGGUGUUGACGAUUGCUCAUCGAUUGAAUACGAUCAUGGAUUACGAUAAAAUUAUGGUCCUCGACAAAGGUCUAGUGGUAGAAUACGAUUCGCCGGAAGUUUUAUUAAAAUCGAAAAAUUCGGUGUUUUAUGGAAUGGCUGCUGAUGCUGGUCUGGUUUGAGAACUUGUAUAUAAUCGUAUUCGGGGUUAUUUUCUCCGCUAUGGAAAUGUAGUUCUACGAUUUGGAUGCGGCGUUGUUAGUAUCAAAUGUUUGCCUUGCGGUAUUUCGACGAUCAACGAAGACAUUUUGAGCACGAGAUCAAGCAACGUUAGAAGGUUAGAACUUCAAAAGCAGAGAACACAGAAACACGAGUAGUUUGCCUUGCUGUACUUCCACGAUCAACGGAGACAUUAUUUUUUUUGUCGCGAAAUUAAAACUGAGGAAAUAAUAAGCCGCCGCCGCAGCUGACCCGCCGAACAAUGUAAGAACUCUGAAAA